UUUAUUAAGGAAUGUAGGAAGGUUCAGGACUACUUUGUGGCCCUAGGGUGAAUUAAAAGUCUGCGGGUCACAGAGCUUUCUCUUAUCAUGCUCCUGUUCUGUGGAAUGAUCUCCCUUCAUCAAUAAGACAGUCCGAUUCUGUAGAGACUUUCCAAUUCAGACUUAUUUUCCCUUUGAUAUGGCUAGCAUACUGGCAUAGUAUGUUACUAUGCUUUUUACUUUUUUAACUUCAUUUUAUUAUGAAACUGAGCAGGCUG